rnacentral:rRNA from 1 species
AGUGAACGCUGGCGGCGUGCUUAACACAUGCAAGUCGAACGGAUGAAAUAAGCUUGCUUAUUUCGUUAGUGGCGCACGGGUGAGUAAUGUAUAGCUAACCUGCCCUUUAGUGGGGGACAACAGUUGGAAACGGCUGCUAAUACCCCAUACUCCUUCUUAUCAUAAGAUAAGUUGAGAAAGAUUUCUUGCUAAAGGAUGGGGCUUUAUUGUAUCAGCUAGUCGGUGGGGUAACGGCCUACCAAGGCGAUGACGCAUACCUGGUCUGAGAGGAUGAUCAGGCACACUGGAACUGAGACACGGUCCAGACUCCUACGGGAGGCAGCAGUGGGGAAUAUUGCACAAUGGGUGAAACCCUGAUGCAGCAACGCCGCGUGGAGGAUGACGCAUUUCGGUGUGUAAACUCCUUUUAUAAGGGAAGAUAAUGACGGUACCUUAUGAAUAAGCACCGGCUAACUCCGUGCCAGCCGCCGCGGUAA